CAAUAGCGUAUAUUAAAGUUGUUGCGGUUAAAAAGCUCGUAGUUGGAUUUCUGCCGAGGACGACCGGUCCGCCCUCUGGGUGAGUAUCUGGCUUGGCCUGGGCAUCUUCUUGGAGAACGUAGCUGCACUUGAUUGUGUGGUGCGGUAUCCAGGACUUUUACUUUGAGGAAAUUAGAGUGUUUCAAGCAGGCAUACGCCUUGAAUACAUUAGCAUGGAAUAAUAAGAUAGGACCUCGGUUCUAUUUUGUUGGUUUCUAGAGCUGAGGUAAUGAUUAAUAGGGAUAGUUGGGGGCAUUUGUAUUCAAACGACAGAGGUGAAAUUCUUGGACCGUUUGAAGACAAACUACUGCGAAAGCAUUUGCCAAGAAUGUUUUCAUUAAUCAAGAACGAAAGUUAGAGGUUCGAAGAUGAUUAGAUACCGU
rnacentral:rRNA from 1 species